AUGAACGCUGGCGGCGUGCCUCAUACAUGCAAGUCGAGCGAACGGACGAGAAGCUUGCUUCUCUGAUGUUCGCGGCGGACGGGUGAGUAACACGUGGAUAACCUACCUAUAAGACUGGGAUAACUUCGGGAAACCGGAGCUAAUACCGGAUAAUAUUUUGAACCGCAUGGUUCAAAAGUGAAAGACGGUCUUGCUGUCACUUAUAGAUGGAUCCGCGCUGCAUUAGCUAGUUGGUAAGUUAACGGCUUACCAAGGCAACGAUGCAUAGCCGACCUGAGAGGGUGAUCGGCCACACUGGAGCUGAGACACCGUCCAGACUCCUGCGGGAGGCAGCAGUAGGGAAUCUUCCGCAAUGGGCGAAAGCCUGACGGAGCAACGCCGCGUGAGUUGUGAAGGUCUUCGGAUCGUAAAACUCUGUUAUUAGGGAAGAACAUAUGUGUAAGUAACUGUGCACAUCUUGACGGUACCUAAUCAGAAAGCCACGGCUAACUACGUG
rnacentral:rRNA from 1 species